GUAUUAAGUUAAAGGCACAAAGGCCAAUAAAAACAUUCUGUUACAUUCUUAUGGGGUAUAUAAAUCAUAGACCAGAACUCAAGGAAAGCCGGCUUUCGCACAGCAGAUCCUCAAUCCGAGUUGCCUCGAGAGUUGUCCAAGUCUACAAAAAGUGCACAGGUGGUAAAGAUGGUGCCAGGCGUGCACAUGCUCCGAGAAGCCAGCAACAACCCAACCAAAUUUAUUCAAUAAUGAUCCUUCCGCAGGUUCACCUACGGAAA
rnacentral:misc_RNA from 1 species